CCCGCUCUUCCCGUGCACAGUGCGGGGCGAGGCUUGGUGAGCGGUGGGUCUGCGCCUUCCCAAGAAGAAACUGGGGCAGCAUGAAUGUGCUGGAAGAUUAGAGGCUGCUGACACUGAAGGAAGGAGAAAUGAGGAGGAAGAUCCCUGUGGACAAGUCAUCUCCCUUCAUUUAAGCCAGGCCAGUAGUCCGGGAGACAUUCCGAAUGAUGCAUUAUCCUAGGCACCAGAAAGUAGCUAACAUUCUCAUGGACAGCAGGGAAAAAUGAAUACAUGAGACAGGGGAAGAUUCCAGCACCUGUGAACAUGUUUAUGCAGGUUUCCAGUCAGUACACGGAUAUCCCUCAAGCCUUUGAAUGCA
rnacentral:lncRNA from 1 species